GGUUAAGCGACUAAGCGUACACGGUGGAUGCCCUGGCAGUCAGAGGCGAUGAAGGACGUGCUAAUCUGCGAUAAGCGUCGGUAAGGUGAUAUGAACCGUUAUAACCGGCGAUUUCCGAAUGGGGAAACCCAGUGUGUUUCGACACACUAUCAUUAACUGAAUCCAUAGGUUAAUGAGGCGAACCGGGGGAACUGAAACAUCUAAGUACCCCGAGGAAAAGAAAUCAACCGAGAUUCCCCCAGUAGCGGCGAGCGAACGGGGAGCAGCCCAGAGCCUGAAUCAGUGUGUGUGUUAGUGGAAGCGUCUGGAAAGGCGCGCGAUACAGGGUGACAGCCCCGUACACAAAAAUGCACAUGCUGUGAGCUCGAUGAGUAGGGCGGGACACGUGGUAUCCUGUCUGAAUAUGGGGGGACCAUCCUCCAAGGCUAAAUACUCCUGACUGACCGAUAGUGAACCAGUACCGUGAGGGAAAGGCGAAAAGAACCCCGGCGAGGGGAGUGAAAAAGAACCUGAAACCGUGUACGUACAAGCAGUGGGAGCACGCUUAGGCGUGUGACUGCGUACCUUUUGUAUAAUGGGUCAGCGACUUAUAUUCUGUAGCAAGGUUAACCGAAUAGGGGAGCCGAAGGGAAACCGAGUCUUAACUGGGCGUUAAGUUGCAGGGUAUAGACCCGAAACCCGGUGAUCUAGCCAUGGGCAGGUUGAAGGUUGGGUAACACUAACUGGAGGACCGAACCGACUAAUGUUGAAAAAUUAGCGGAUGACUUGUGGCUGGGGGUGAAAGGCCAAUCAAACCGGGAGAUAGCUGGUUCUCCCCGAAAGCUAUUUAGGUAGCGCCUCGUGAAUUCAUCUCCGGGGGUAGAGCACUGUUUCGGCAAGGGGGUCAUCUCGACUUACCAACCUGAUGCAAACUGCGAAUACCGGAGAAUGUUAUCACGGGAGACACACGGCGGGUGCUAACGUCCGUCGUGAAGAGGGAAACAACCCAGACCGCCAGCUAAGGUCCCAAAGUCAUGGUUAAGUGGGAAACGAUGUGGGAAGGCCCAGACAGCCAGGAUGUUGGCUUAGAAGCAGCCAUCAUUUAAAGAAAGCGUAAUAGCUCACUGGUCGAGUCGGCCUGCGCGGAAGAUGUAACGGGGCUAAACCAUGCACCGAAGCUGCGGCAGCGACGCUGAUGCGUUGUUGGGUAGGGGAGCGUUCUGUAAGCCUGCGAAGGUGUGCUGUGAGGCAUGCUGGAGGUAUCAGAAGUGCGAAUGCUGACAUAAGUAACGAUAAAGCGGGUGAAAAGCCCGCUCGCCGGAAGACCAAGGGUUCCUGUCCAACGUUAAUCGGGGCAGGGUGAGUCGACCCCUAAGGCGAGGCCGAAAGGCGUAGUCGAUGGGAAACAGGUUAAUAUUCCUGUACUUGGUGUUACUGCGAAGGGGGGACGGAGAAGGCUAUGUUGGCCGGGCGACGGUUGUCCCGGUUUAAGCGUGUAGGCUGGUUUUCCAGGCAAAUCCGGAAAAUCAAGGCUGAGGCGUGAUGACGAGGCACUACGGUGCUGAAGCAACAAAUGCCCUGCUUCCAGGAAAAGCCUCUAAGCAUCAGGUAACAUCAAAUCGUACCCCAAACCGACACAGGUGGUCAGGUAGAGAAUACCAAGGCGCUUGAGAGAACUCGGGUGAAGGAACUAGGCAAAAUGGUGCCGUAACUUCGGGAGAAGGCACGCUGAUAUGUAGGUGAGGUCCCUCGCGGAUGGAGCUGAAAUCAGUCGAAGAUACCAGCUGGCUGCAACUGUUUAUUAAAAACACAGCACUGUGCAAACACGAAAGUGGACGUAUACGGUGUGACGCCUGCCCGGUGCCGGAAGGUUAAUUGAUGGGGUUAGCGCAAGCGAAGCUCUUGAUCGAAGCCCCGGUAAACGGCGGCCGUAACUAUAACGGUCCUAAGGUAGCGAAAUUCCUUGUCGGGUAAGUUCCGACCUGCACGAAUGGCGUAAUGAUGGCCAGGCUGUCUCCACCCGAGACUCAGUGAAAUUGAACUCGCUGUGAAGAUGCAGUGUACCCGCGGCAAGACGGAAAGACCCCGUGAACCUUUACUAUAGCUUGACACUGAACAUUGAGCCUUGAUGUGUAGGAUAGGUGGGAGGCUUAGAAGUGUGGACGCCAGUCUGCAUGGAGCCGACCUUGAAAUACCACCCUUUAAUGUUUGAUGUUCUAACGUUGACCCGUAAUCCGGGUUGCGGACAGUGUCUGGUGGGUAGUUUGACUGGGGCGGUCUCCUCCUAAAGAGUAACGGAGGAGCACGAAGGUUGGCUAAUCCUGGUCGGACAUCAGGAGGUUAGUGCAAUGGCAUAAGCCAGCUUGACUGCGAGCGUGACGGCGCGAGCAGGUGCGAAAGCAGGUCAUAGUGAUCCGGUGGUUCUGAAUGGAAGGGCCAUCGCUCAACGGAUAAAAGGUACUCCGGGGAUAACAGGCUGAUACCGCCCAAGAGUUCAUAUCGACGGCGGUGUUUGGCACCUCGAUGUCGGCUCAUCACAUCCUGGGGCUGAAGUAGGUCCCAAGGGUAUGGCUGUUCGCCAUUUAAAGUGGUACGCGAGCUGGGUUUAGAACGUCGUGAGACAGUUCGGUCCCUAUCUGCCGUGGGCGCUGGAGAACUGAGGGGGGCUGCUCCUAGUACGAGAGGACCGGAGUGGACGCAUCACUGGUGUUCGGGUUGUCAUGCCAAUGGCACUGCCCGGUAGCUAAAUGCGGAAGAGAUAAGUGCUGAAAGCAUCUAAGCACGAAACUUGCCCCGAGAUGAGUUCUCCCUGACCCUUUAAGGGUCCUGAAGGAACGUUGAAGACGACGACGUUGAUAGGCCGGGUGUGUAAGCGCAGCGAUGCGUUGAGCUAACCGGUACUAAUGAACCGUGAGGCUUAACCUU
rnacentral:rRNA from 1 species